ensembl:snRNA U6 U6 spliceosomal RNA
UUGCUCCAGAAGCACAUGUGCUAAAACUGAAACAACACAGAAGAUUAUCAUGACCCUUGCACAAGGAUGAUAUAAAUUUGUGGAGCAGUUUAAAGAGAAAAUAUUAUU